UGGCUCCACCUUAACCUUUUGUUGUUGCUGCUCAUCAUCAUCCGCGUUCCUUGCCUCUCUGAAAUUACGGAAUCAAUCCCUCCUCCUCCUCCUCCUCUUCCAUAUGGUGCUACUCUAGCUAGGGCUCGAGCCUAGGGUCGGCCUGGUGCACCUCCAUACGACAGCCCCUGCCCCUUCUGCUCCUACCCAAUCUCCCUUCAGCAACAUUCCUC
rnacentral:lncRNA from 1 species